CGAGGAAUAUUGCACAAUAGGCGCAAGCCUGAUGCUGCAACGCCGCGUGGACGAUGAAGGCCUUCGGGUUGUAAGGUCCUUUUCUGGGGGAAGACAUGGACGGUACCCCAGGAAUAAGUGUCGGCUAACUACGUGCCAGCAGCCGCGGUAAAACGUAGGACGCGAGCGUUAUCCGGAUUUACUGGGCGUAAAGCGCGUGCAGGCGGUUUGUUAAGUCGUGCGUGAAAGCUCCCUGGCUCAACCGGGAGAGGUCGUACGAAACUGGCAGACUUGAGGGCAGCAGAGGAGUGUGGAAUUCCGGGUGUAGUGGUGAAAUGCGUAGGUAUCCGGAGGAACACCAGUGGCGAAGGCGACACUCUGGGCUGUACCUGACGCUAAGACGCGAAAGCAUGGGUAGCGAACGG
rnacentral:rRNA from 1 species